UACGGAGGGUGCAAACGUUGCUCGGAAUCAUUGGGCGUAAAGCGCGUGUAGGCGGCCCGGUAAGUCCGCUGUGAAAGUCCAGGGCUCAACCCUGGGAUGCCGGUGGAUACUGUCGGGCUCGAGUCCGGAAGAGGCGAGUGGAAUUCCUGGUGUAGCGGUGAAAUGCGCAGAUAUCAGGAGGAACACCGGUGGCGAAGGCGGCAUCCUGGACCGGUAUUGACACUGAGGAGCGAAAGCCAGGGG
rnacentral:rRNA from 1 species